AGAGUUUGAUCAUGGCUCAGAUUGAACGCUGGCGGCAGGCUUAACACAUGCAAGUCGAGCGGUAACAGAGAGAAGCUUGCUUCUCUGCUGACGAGCGGCGGACGGGUGAGUAAUGCCUAGGAAUCUGCCUAGUAGUGGGGGAUAACUUGCCGAAAGGUAAGCUAAUACCGCAUACGUCCUACGGGAGAAAGGAGGGGACCUUCGGGCCUUUCGCUAUUAGAUGAGCCUAGGUCGGAUUAGUUAGUUGGUGAGGUAAUGGCUCACCAAGACCGCGAUCCGUAACUGGUCUGAGAGGAUGAUCAGUCACACUGGAACUGAGACACGGUCCAGACUCCUACGGGAGGCAGCAGUGGGGAAUAUUGGACAAUGGGGGGAACCCUGAUCCAGCCAUGCCGCGUGUGUGAAGAAGGUCUUAGGAUUGUAAAGCACUUUAAGUUGGGAGGAAGAGCAGUUAACUAAUAUUUGACUGUUUUGACGUUACCGACAGAAUAAGCACCGGCUAACUUCGUGCCAGCAGC
rnacentral:rRNA from 1 species